GGGGAUGUAGCUCAGUGGUAGAGCAUGUAUUCACCUUGUAAAAGGCUAUGGUUCAAUCCUUUGUAUCCCCA
rnacentral:tRNA from 1 species